rnacentral:rRNA from 1 species
UACGGGGGGAGCAAGCGUUGUUCGGAUUUACUGGGCGUAAAGGGCGCGUAGGCGGUCACGACAAGUCAGUUGUGAAAUCUCCGGGCUUAACUCGGAACGGUCAACUGAUACUGUCGGACUAGAGUGCAGAAGGGGCAACUGGAAUUCUCGGUGUAGCGGUGAAAUGCGUAGAUAUCGAGAGGAACACCUGCGGCGAAGGCGGGUUGCUGGGCUGACACUGGCGCUGAGGCGCGAAAGCCAGGGGAGCGAACGGG